GGGCCCGCACAAGCGGUGGAGUAUGUGGUUUAAUUCGAUGCAACGCGAAGAACCUUACCAGGGUUUGACAUCCUGCGAAUCUCUUGGAAACAGGAGAGUGCCUUCGGGAACGCAGUGACAGGUGGUGCAUGGCUGUCGUCAGCUCGUGUCGUGAGAUGUUGGGUUAAGUCCCGCAACGAGCGCAACCCACGUCUUUAGUUGCCAGCGGUUCGGCCGGGGACUCUAAGAAGACUGCCAGCGCAAGCUGAGAGGAAGGUGGGGAUGACGUCAAAUCAUCACGGCCCUUACGUCCUGGGCUACACACGUGCUACAAUGCUACGGACAAAGGGCUGCAAGUUCGCGAGGACAAGCAAAUCCCAUAAACCGUGGCUCAGUUCAGAUCGUAGGCUGCAACUCGCCUACGUGAAGGCGGAAUCGCUAGUAAUCGCAGGU
rnacentral:rRNA from 1 species